GAUGAAGAACGUAGCGAAAUGCGAUAAGUAAUGUGAAUUGCAGAAUUCAGUGAAUCAUCGAAUCUUUGAAAGCACCUUGCGCCCUUUGGCCAUUCCGAAGGGCAUGCCUGUUUGAGUAUCAUGAACACCUCAACUCUUUAUGGUUUUCCAUGAUGAGCUUGGACUCUGGGGGUUUUGCUGGCUCACAGUCGGCUCCUCUAAAAUGAAUCAGCUUACCAGUGUUUGGUGGGUAUCAUGGGUGUGAUGACUAUCUACGCUUGUGGUUUUUCCACCAGGUAACCUUCAGCAGUGGAGGUUCGCUGGAGCUCAUAGAUGUCUCUCCUCAGUGAGGACAGCCCUUUGAAUGUUUGAUCUCAAAUCAGGUAGGACUACCCGCUGAACUUAAGCAUAUCAAUAAGCGGAGGA
rnacentral:misc_RNA from 1 species